ACCCUAUAGGGUGAUUUCACGAAAGGUCACUGGAGCAUAGAUCCUCACCCACGUGACUGCAAAAUCCAACUGAGGUACAAGCGUGUUCAAGAAGGAACUGCAGAUGCUGGAAGAUUGAAGGUACACAAAAUUGCUGGAGAAACUCAGCGGGUGCAGCAGCAUCUAUGGAGCGAAGGAAAUAGGCGACGUUUCGGGCUGAAACCCUUCUUCAGACAAGCGUCUGAAGUGAGGUACAAGCGUCACUUCCGGUACAUGUCAUCGAUGCUGAAAAUGCGCGCUUUCACACCCGUUAAAAACCGCGAAAAUGGCCCGUUUUUGAGCUGUAAAUAACUGCCAGUCGGGGUGACGGUGAGGCACAGUUAACUUACUUUACAGUCCAGAAGAUAGAUAAAAACGAAGGUAAAUACAAGAGGGAGCUGAAGGGGCAACGACAGCGGAAGUGGUUAGCGGACAUUCGCCGUGGAGAUAUAAAUAUUGAAAAUUUCGGGAAUUAUCGCGUUUGCUCGCUGCAUUUCAUCAAAAGAUGAAUACAAUAAAAUCUUGCAGCUGGAGAUUUCAAAGAAGGAAAAACCACGAAAACAAUCCAAAGAUGCCAUGUUUCAACUUCCAGCAAUCAUCAAAGAAAUCCCUCACCGAGAAUCAGUCCUUCGCAUUUUACCCACUGCAGGAAAUAGCUUUAUGCUUAUGGGACAGGAUGGUCUGAUCUCCUUCUGGUCAUCAGCGCUGAAGUUUAAGAAAAGUAGAUCUCUCUUUUUACAGGAAGAAAACAGAAAGUUUAAAUGGAUCACUGACUUCACUCUAAUUAAUCAAUACAACAAAUUGAUGAUUGGAACAUGUGAUCGAGAAAUCCGCAUCUAUGAGCUCUCCAAUUUUGAACCCUAUUGUCAAAUAAUCGGACUUGAUUCUAUGCCACUUCGUCUGGAUUACAGGUAAUGUUAUUGCUCAUAAAAUAAUUGCUGUCAAGAAUAUGUCCAUUCCUGUAUAUAAGCUAGAUUCCAUGUGCUGGCUACACUUGCUAAAUCCUAGGAUGUUCGCUGUGGUAUUUAUAUUUCCGCCUUCAUCUGUUGCAACUGCAAGAUAUCCUGCUGUGCCAGAGAAGGGCAGUAGAUGAAAUUAUACAUGGCGUAGACCAUUGAGAUGCAAGC